rnacentral:sRNA from 1 species
GACCUAUUAAGCACAAAGAAACUAGCACUAGAUGAUUUGGAAAAUUCUCAGCCUUUUCAGACAGUGUGUUCUGAGACUAGGACCAGAAACGGCUCUAACAAGGCCUUCCCUGAGCUCCCGGGAGAUAAGUCCUCAGAGAACUGGGCUUUGCCUCAGGGUAACUAAAUAAUUCUUUGCUAAACAGAGUGUGGCUGAACAUGGAUCCAGUCCACCAUCUCAAAAGAAGUCGGGAUUGGAAAUGCAUUUUUCUAGAAAGGAUCCAUGGAAAAUCCUUUUGUUUGACAAUUUAGACCACCUUGAACUGGAC